AGAUCUCUCCUUAGAGUACUCAUCCAGAAUAGAAGGUUUAAGCUUCAUGUGCUUGUAGAGUGUCCCAACUAUAAUGCAUUCUUUGCCUUCCUCUAAUCCUAGAACAGUACAGACAGGUAAAUGGGGUUUCCAAUUGGGAAUGAUAGAGUAAAGGAGAGUUCGCAUCAAAUGGAGCCUAGCAAAAUAUAUUUGGCUGUAUUGUUGACCCCUGUAAACCUCCUUCUGAAUCCCAAAACUCUCGUCCAAAGAUUGGUAAACUGAUUGUUUUCGGUGGAGAAGGUUCUUCUCUGAAUCAACUUCCGUUGAUACCAUGGCAGCAGAAAUAUUCUUCCCACUGCUUGCGCUGUUAAAGUUUCGUACUUCACUUCCCUCCCUCGAUGUAGU
rnacentral:misc_RNA from 1 species